GACUUUAUUUAUAAACUUUGGAAUAUUAUAUGUUAAAAUAGCAUUUAAACAUUUUAUAUGAUUAUUAAAUUUUAAAAUAGAAAUUAUUAAUGGAGAAUAUGUUUUUAUAUAAAUUAUCAAUUAAAUAUACAAAGUUAAACAGGUUAUGAGAGCACGUAGUAAGCGGUAAAUUCUAAUCAGGUUCAGGACAAGUUCAGAGGUUCGAAUUUGGGUAUCUUAAAUUUUGCAGGCACCCAGCCCAUUGCCAUCCUUAUUUGACAUAAAUAUUUUAUCAAAUAUAUGCCAACAAAGAUUAAGGAAUGCAUAUUUUCUGUCAAGGAUAUAAAGUUCUGUUAUUGAUUGUUUUCCCUUCAAUACUUUACAGUGGGGAUGAAAGAAAGACUUUUAAUCCUUCCCACUAUUUUUUGCUUUCUUGGAGUAAAAGGAAUGAGAGAUUGAGAGUGCUUUUCAGGGGAACAGCUUUCUCCCUAAAUUGUCAAAGAAAGAUGACUUAUAUUGAGUCUUAUUGGACCUUGGGGAUAUGAAAGAUGCCAUAGAAUUCAUUAUCUUUGUGGCCCUGUAAUAUCCCCUUUUCUUAUAGAUGUGGGCAACCCGCUUUUAUCUUUUAAUGGCAAUUUUAUUUUGUGUGUCAAAUAAAUCCUCAUUCGAGAGAACUAAAAGUCAAGUAGACAAUUUAAAUUGACAAGGCAACACUCAUUAACUCUUAAUAGGGUAGGAAAAAGAAAAGGAUCAAAUUUCAACUAAAAAAACAAUUAACUAGAACAAUAAAAAUAAAAACAGCAAUGACAAAAGUAAUUAUUUAUUACUACUAAGAAGACUCAAAAUUUGACAGCUGACAGACACAGAC
rnacentral:misc_RNA from 1 species